UACGUAGGGUGCGAGCGUUAAUCGGAAUUACUGGGCGUAAAGCGUGCGCAGGCGGUUUGUUGUGUCUGAUGUGAAAGCCCCGGGCUUAACCUGGGAAUGGCAUUGGAAACUGGCAAGCUGGAGUGUGGCAGAGGGGGGUGGAAUUCCGCGUGUAGCAGUGAAAUGCGUAGAGAUGCGGAGGAACACCGAUGGCGAAGGCAGCCCCCUGGGCCAACACUGACGCUCAGGCACGAAAGCGUGGGGAUCAAACAGG
rnacentral:rRNA from 1 species